rnacentral:rRNA from 1 species
GACAGAGGUCCCGAGCGUUAGGCGGAAUCACUGGGCUUAAAGCGUGUGUAGGUGGAUCGGUAAGUACCUUGUGAAAUCCCACGACUCAAUCGUGGAACUGCUUGGUAUACUGCCAGUCUUGAGGCACUCAGGGGCAAGCGGAACAGAUGGUGGAGCGGUGAAAUGCGUAGAUAUCAUCUGGAACGCCAAUGGUGAAGACAGCUUGCUGGGGGUGUUCUGACACUGAGACACGAAAGCCAGGGGAGCAAACGGG